UGGGGGAAAGGGACAAUGAUCACCGUGUCCAGUGCUACGCCAAUAAAACCGACACCGUUUCCGCUUAUGGAGGUAUGCGGUUUGUCCGGUGUCACGGGUCCUCUCGCUACUGGCUGUUUAGCAACCGAUUUCCUGCCUAUCCCCGCUACCUUUUCGUGGUCAGAUCAAUCAGGAAAAGCUUAUGCAGUGGAUACAUUCCUCCAGUACCCAUCUGUGCAGAAGGGAGGCAUGUACACUUCCACCAGCCAGCUCACCAUCUCCCAGGCAGAGUGGGAUAAGGCUGAGUACUUUAUUUGCACUGUAGAAAAUCCUACCGGCAAGUCAGUAGUCAACGUGACAAAACCUGGGCCUAAAAUCGAACCCCAUGUUUUCAUAAUCCCACCGUCUAUUCAAGAGAUUAGAGAAAACAAAUCUGCCACAAUUGUAUGUGUAGCCAGAGGAUUUUCACCCAAGGAGUGGUCAUUUAAAUGGAAGAAGAAUUCUGUGGAAUUUGAUGCUAAACAUAUCACUAACACGGGAGCGAGGGCGGACAACGGACAUUUCAACGCCUACAGUAUCUUAGUUGCCAGUGAGAAUGAAUGGUUGGAAUCAAACAUCAAAUGUGAGGUGACUUAUGGCUCAUCUGUAGUGAGCAAGACCAUUAACAGCACCGUUAUAGACUGCCCUGGAAAUGUUCAUGUUGACAUAUUGCCUCCCUCUGCUGAAGAAAUAUUCAUCGAGCAUACAGCCACGUUAACCUUUAAAGCAACUGGGUUAAUUUCAGUUGAUGGCAUUGAAAUAAAGUGGGCUUCAGAAACUGCAGAAAUUGCAACUGGUGCACCUGACAUUAGCACUGAGAACGGUUUCUAUGCAGUUGUCUCCAAGCUUAAAGUAACCGUGGAACAGUGGAGCCGUGGGGACAAAUUCUUCUGUACUGUAAAGCAAAUUGACUCAUUACCAAGUCCACGGACCGUUGAGUACCACAGAGAGAAGGAUGGUCCUUCUCAUCGGCCAUCGGUGUAUCUCCUCUCGCCAUCGCCUCAAGAAUCCAGCGACGGAACCAAAGUUGUUACCCUGACCUGCUUCGUCAAAGACUUCUACCCGGAAGAGGUGUACAUCAUCUGGCUUCACAAUGACAACCCUGUCCCCAAAACCACCUACACCAGCACCAAUUUGAUUCCCCAUAAAAAUGGCCAGACCUUGUUUUCGGUGUACAGCAAGUUGACUGUGCCUACCCAGAACUGGACCAACGGGGAUGUCUAUACUUGCGUGGUCUAUCAUGAGACCAUUCAACCACCCACCAAGAUGAUCACCAGAAACGCAGAUUCAACUGGAGCUUCUAUAGCAGUCUCUCAAGACUGCUCUGAUUAUGACUUAGAGGAAGAUGAUGCGGGCAGCCUCUGGACCACAGCCUCCACCUUCAUCUUCCUCUUCCUCAUCAGUUUCUUCUACAGCAUCGGAGCGACUUUCGCAAAGGUGAAAUAAUGCAAUUGCAAAAGGAGCUGAAUGGAAUUCUGGCAGAGCAAUUAACCGUGUGGCUUUUCUUUCAUUAUUUCUGUUAAUGGUUAUAAAACAUGCUUUUGUUAGUAGUGUAAGUCAAUAGUACUGCUGUUAGUCUCAUUCCUCUGUGUAAAUAUUUGACUGUGUAUUAGUGUAUUGCUUUGCUUAUCUGAAUUUUUAAUAAAGACUUUAAUUAAACAACCAA